UGUGUGUGUGUAAAUCCACUCCGUCCAUAAGGUGAGAAACAUUAUUCUAACCGCACAUACAAAUUAUCCGAAUGAUUAGAAACUCUCAUGGGACACACCAAGGGAGCAAAACCUUGAGGCCUGCCCAAGGUUUUGUGCCACUGAUCUAAUUAACCCUACGGUGGAUAGUCCAUUCCUAAAAAUCUUCUAGAUGAAAAGAUCCUAGCCACCAACCUCUGACAUUUUUUUCAAUUGAAAGUUGACCACUGGUGAUGCAGUUAACUUGAAAGCGGAGAGUUUUGAACUAGCCAAGUACUUUUCCUUGACCAUCACUGGGAUGCAUCAACUGUUUUAUAUUUUUCUUGACCAUCUAUUUGCGGAAGUGAGUCAGCUUGGUUUUGGUGGGCGAUGGUAAAAGAAAGUGUUUUAGUGGUCAAAGAAACAUGUUGCUGAGUAAUUCAUGUUCCAAAACUGGACUGUGUUGGAAGUUGAAACAAGUCUUAGUGAUUUAUACUGAUAGGACUGUCAACAGGCCAGGCCUAGGGUUGUCUUUGGCUUGGAUUUUGAGCUGGUUGGGCUGGAUCUAAUCAAAAUUUUUACUCUGUCUGGCCAGGCCCCAGCUUCUAUUCAAAAUUGAGAGGGCUAGCCUUAUUCUCAUAAUUGUCACAGUAUGUGUGACUAUUGUGGGUAUGUAUUUCUGGCUGAAUGCUGAGAACUAUCAUUAAAAACAGCAAGACGUCAAACUUGCUUAAUUCAUCCUAGUUUUUAUUGAUUUCAUCUACAUCAAGAUGAUGAUUGAAAUUCGGCAUGAUUGCAAAAUCCAAAUGCAGGUUUCUGACAGUGUAUUUCCUGAUGCUGCUACAAAGAUUUACUUUCAAACAGCUCAGAGAAAUGGCAAGAUAGUCAACUGUAUCACAAGCUUUGGUACAACCAGUUUUUUGUAUGAAGGUAUCUUUAAAACAAAAAGAAAAAAGAAAAAGAAAAAUCAGCAAUCCAGCAAAAGAAACAACAAGGAAUUAUAACAAAGAUUGAUCUAAUAUUAAGUAAUGCAUGUAUGGAAUAGGACAAGAUGUAUAGAAGACAAAUAGAACAAUAGGUGUAGAAGACAUACCAAAUUUAAUAAAAGCAUAGGGCCUGGCAGCAGUUUGACUCCCAUUGACUUUCUCAAAUUCGUUUUUGAGGUCUACUAGGUAUUGAAAAGCAAGUUUCUUCGGAUAAGAAUGAUCACACAUGGUGAAAUAACAUACACGGCCUUUAAUAAUAUAGCUGCAAAAUUAGGUCAGGGUAACAAUUGCAUUUGAUUUAAAUGGACUGGACAUGAAAUGCCUAACAUAGAAAAAUAGGGAACAAGGGAGAAAAUCCAUGUUGUUUUCUUAAGUAGCCAGUUCUGCUACAUGGAUCAAGCUGAAAUGCUACUAUUUCUUGUUCUGCAAUUGGAAUCCUUAGGAGAGCACUUCUUAUAAACAGGUGGUGUGAGUUGGCCAUUUUUCUUAUUUGGUGCAAUUGCUUCUUAGCUAUUAGUAGUACAUGUGACUCUGAUCUCCUGUUAGAAACUAUCUCUGCUCAUCCUUCCCUGCUCUCUCUCUCUCUCUCUCUCUCUCUCUCUCUCUCUCUCUCUCUCUCUCUCUCUCUCUCUAAUAGUAAAUUCUUGAUGUAGUUUGUUUUCCAUUCAGCAUUGAUUUCUUUCAGGGAUUGGCACUAUUGAUUUGUGCAUUGCAGGCCCUUUAUCUGAAUUGCCCAGAGCUUAACGACCUGAAUCUCAAUUUAUGUACAAACUUGCAUCCAGGCAUUGGUGAAAAAUGCAACAGAUGCUAUGAAGGAAUCCCGCAUUCAUGAUUUUCUUGCUUCGUUGAAUGCUCUUCAAUAUGGAAAGAUGGACUUCCACACCGGUAGCUUUAUGGCCAGAAGCUAACAAACACGUCUACACACAAAUGAGAGAGAGAGGAUCCAUUCCAGUGUAAAGAAGAAUCAUCAAUGCCUGACGAAAGGGCGCUGUUCUUUGAAGUGGACAUGGUCCUUGAUGUUGUCUCCUUCCAACUUGAGGCUGGCCCACCACACCAAAUCGCCUUCCACCUUUAGAGAACCCCCACCAACAGUGGUGGUAGAAGCAGCAGCAUUGUCACGGGGAACUUGAAGAGGAAGAUUAUUCAGCUUCGAACAUCCACU